UGGGGAAUCUUGCGCAAUGGGCGAAAGCCUGACGCAGCGACGCCGCGUGAGUGAUGAAGGCCUUCGGGUUGUAAAGCUCUGUGGGGAGAGACGAAUAAGCUUUGGCUAAUAUCCAGGGUGAUGACGGUAUCUCCUUAGCAAGCACCGGCUAACUCCGUGCCAGCAGCCGCGGUAAUACGGAGGGUGCAAACGUUGCUCGGAAUCAUUGGGCGUAAAGCGCACGUAGGCGGCGAAGCAAGUCGGGUGUGAAAGCCCUGGGCUCAACCCAGGAAGUGCAUUCGAAACUAUUUCGCUUGAAUCUCGGAGGGGGUCAGAGAAUUCCCGGUGUAGAGGUGAAAUUCGUAGAUAUCGGGAGGAACACCGAUGGCGAAGGCAAUCCCCUGGACCUGUACUGACGCUCAUGCACGAAAGCGUGGGGAGCAAACA
rnacentral:rRNA from 1 species